UACGGAGGGUGCAAGCGUUAUCCGGAUUCACUGGGUUUAAAGGGUGUGUAGGCGGACAGUUAAGUCAGCGGUGAAAUCUCCGGGCUCAACCCGGAAACUGCCAUUGAUACUAUCUGUCUUGAAUAUUGUUGAGGUGGGCGGAAUAUGUCAUGUAGCGGUGAAAUGCUUAGAUAUGACAUAGAACACCGAUUGCGAAGGCAGCUCACUAAACAAUGAUUGACGCUGAGGCACGAAAGCGUGGGGAUCAAACAGG
rnacentral:rRNA from 2 species